rnacentral:ncRNA from 1 species
AAGCUAUGAAAUCAGAGGGCGUGCCAAGAGCGUUGUCUGAUGGAGCAUGCGGGAGGGGUUGCACAGUGAAACCUCAACUUGGCGUAGGCAUCUGCCGAAAGAAAAUGUGAAUG